GAUGAACGCUAGCGGCAGGCUUAACACAUGCAAGUCGAGGGGUAGAGGUUGCUUGCAACCUUGAGACCGGCGCACGGGUGCGUAACGCGUAUGCAAACUACCUUUUACAGAGGGAUAGCCCAGAGAAAUUUGGAUUAAUAUCUCAUAGUAUAUAACCUUCGCAUGGUGGUUAUAUUAAAGUUCCAACGGUAAAAGAUGGGCAUGCGUCCUAUUAGCUAGAUGGUAGGGUAACGGCUUACCAUGGCAACGAUAGGUAGGGGUCCUGAGAGGGAGAUCCCCCACACUGGUACUGAGACACGGACCACACUCCUACGGGGGGCAGCAGUGAGGAAUAUUGGACAAUGGGCGCAAGCCUGAUCCAGCCAUGCCGCGUGCAGGAAGAAGCAUCUAUGGUGUGUAAACUGCUUUUGUACAGGAAGAAACACCCCGACGUGUCGGGACUUGACGGUACUGUAAGAAUAAGGAUCGGCUAACUCCGUGCCAGCAGCCGCCGUAAUAC
rnacentral:rRNA from 1 species